GGGAGAUGGGCCUGGUUGCUAGGGAGCUUGAGAAGACCUUGUCUGGAAUCUAGUAUUGAAGCUGUGCUUGAUGAGUUGCUGCCUUGAACUUUUCCACUGAUCAAUGCUGGUGCUAUGGCUGCAUGAAAGAAUAGCUUUCCGGAGGAGAAGCUAUCACAGGGGAAACACGCUACACUGUAAACUAAAAAAAAAAAAAUCUGCUAUAAUCUAGUAUGCUUAGGCUUAGAAACAUGUUUCCCCAAAAGAAAUGGUGAUAGGGAAUGACCAUUUAAAAACUAAGAUGUUACAUGAGCAAGAGGUCAAGUCAAGGACAGUGAGGUUUUU